GUCCUGAUUAUACCACAGAGGAUGUAUUUCACAGGCUGCUCCUAGAUGCAGGGUCUUGGGAAUGACAGUGAUCAAGCAUGUGGGUGUUACUGGCACAUUUGGAAGUGACAGCAUCAGAGGUGGUGUGUUCCCAGGAGAGUGAGAGCAAUGAGUGGUACUCGAUUGCAGUGCCCUCUUUUUCCCCAACCUCUGAGGUGACUGGGGCUGAAUGUGGAGCCUGAUGGCAGACCUCUAGUGGUGUCAGGCCAUGCCUCCCUCUGGUUUCUGAGGUGACUCCUAUGGUUUUUCCCUGCCACCUAUCCAUCAUGCAAGAGGCACUGUGUGGCUCUUAGCCCCCCACUUCCCUUAGCCCCCACAAGAAGUGCCUGUUCUCAUGUAGCCUGAGCAAGUGGCCUCUUGCCAUCCAUUGCCUGCACCAGAAGCACCCUGCCCUCUGAGAUCCUGAGCAUGCGCAGAGAGAUUCCUAUGGCUUCCACCCCUCUUCCUCUAGCCCUCUCCAACAAUGGUGCCUUGCUUCUCCUGUGGGCCCAGACCUUCUCCUGGGUUCCCUCUGCUAUGCCAUUCCACUCCCCAGCCUGUAGCACACUGCUCCCCUUCCUGUGGCACACUGUUCCUUAGCCUCUUAGGCUGUCCCCACACAGGCAAGCCUAGUCUACUCCCCAGAACUAACCUCUGGAGCCUAAGUCUCAGCAUCUCGCCCCCUCCUGAGUGUUUCAGGCUUUGGUAUCUGGGGUGAUGGUGCAGAUGAUCUCUGUGGCUCUCACUCUACUUUUCCCUCCUCAGUCCAACUGCAGCACUUUGCUCAGCAACUUUGGGGUCCCUCUGUCUCAGCUGAUCUCCUUAUUGGUUAGGUGGCUUCCCAGGCUGUGGGUUACUUUUCUCUUUUAUAGCUCUCUCUCAGGAAUGCUAGUCCUGUCCUGGUUCCUUUUCUCUCUAUUUUUUUUUUCUUUUAUUCUACCCAGAACAAAAGAGUCUCUUCCCUUUAUUGGAGGUUUAAGUUCUUCUGCCAUCAUUGAAUUGAUGUUCUGUGUGCGUCAUUUUAUAUGUAGAUGUGUUUUCUUGAUGUGUUUGUGGGAGAAGGUGAGCGUGACAUCUCACUUCUCCACCAUCUUGAUCCACCCCUCCCCACUUCCAACAUUCUACAUCCUAUUUUAGUCCCACUUAGGUUGUACAACUAACUUCCUUGCUCCUGGCCAGGUUUAGAACCUAGGAAUACCAGGAGUGUUGGUUUGACUCCAGAAAUCACUCGUGGUAGCCAUUUUUGGAUUACCUCUCCCCCAUCUCAGCUCCACUCAAGGUGUAAUAUUAAUCUAAGCCAGGCUAGGUACUUUCAUGUCCCUUGCUUUUGGUUGACUCAAAUAUGCGUGUGACCCAUCUGGCCAAUAAUAUGCUAGAGGACAGUCUACUGGGGCUUUCUACUAAAGCAUUUAUUGUCCCUAGGAGAGAAACACAUAAAAGAAUAGUUUCUCUUCAUCCUCUGGAUGUCACCAUGUCUGGGGAGGAAGCCUGUGUAUCCUGCAGCCAUCUCUGAGCAUGUAACCACCCAUAAAAUGAGGCUCAGGCUGAUGAUGACAGAAUAAGCAGAAGGAAAGAAUUUGGGUCAUUGGUGGCAUUAUUGAAGCGCUAAUCAAAAAUGCCUAGAACCUGUCAUCUUGCUAGACUUCCAGUUUUGUUAAGAUAAAUUUCCUUUUUGCUUUUACUAUAUGCAUUGUAGUUUUUGGUUAUAAUCAGGAAAAUUCAUUCUAGCACAUAUGUUGCAGUUCAUUUUUUUUUAAUUCUGCAAUUAUUUAUUGAGCAUCAGUUAUGUGCUAUGCACUAUUCUAGGUGCUGGUAACACAGAGCUGAAGAAGACACCACUACCUGUUCUUAUUAUACAUAAUAUUCUAAUGGGGGGGGGAGACAGAAAGUAAGUAGAAAUAGAUGGGCUAGCUCAGACACACCAAAUUCUAUAAAGAAAAUAAAGCAGGCUAAGGUACUAAAGAAUUACUAGGAGCACAGAGGUGGAAAGCAGAGACAAACUAUUAGAUGUGUGCAGAAGUGGGCUGAGUACAGGAAUGAGCACACCUCAAUGUUUGUAAUAGCAAAGCUAAUGAUAGUUAUAGACAUAACCUACAUGUCCAUCUGUGGGGGCCUAAUGAGAUAGAUCUUGGGACAUUUAUGUGCUGAAAUAUUGUGUUGUCAAUAAAAAGACUAGAGUGUAACAGUGUAUUGCUUAGGUGACACUCUCUCCAAGGGAAAUUAUUAAUAAAAAUAUAAAGCUGUAUGUGGAAUGUUAUAUAGAGUGUUAUCCCGAUCCUGAGAAUUAGAAAAAGGGUAGGUGAAUCUAAAUAUUUGUAUAAAUACAGUUCUGAAUAGAUAUGCAAGAAAGUGUAUUGGUGUCCUUUAGGAGAGGUGAUAGAAAAGAGACUUGUAUCUUUUAUUUUGUGCCUUUCUGUACAGUUUAGAAUUUAUUGGAGUGCCUGCUAUGGCACAGUGGGUUAAUGAUCCAGCAUGUGUCUGUGGAGGUGCUAGUUCACCCAGGCCAAGGGUAGGUUAAAGAUCCAGCAUUACUGCAGCUGUGGCAUAGGUCACAGCUGUGGCUCAGAUUCAGUUCCUGGGCCAGAAGCUUCCAUAUGCCAUAAUGCUGAAAAAAAAAAAAUGAAAAAGACAAUUUUUUAAAAAAUUUAUUUUACCAUAUACCUUUUUGAUUCAUAGAAAAAAGUCCAUUAAAAAGUUAGUGACACCUGAACUUUCUUUCAAUGCAAAUCUGUGUCGAGAAAUAAUUAAUAUAAGUAAAAUCCAUUGCUUGGGAGGAGUGGUUUUUGAUAUACAUGACAUCAGAGAGGAACCUGGCUUUAAAUAGGAACCAGGCAAAAAAUGAGGCCAUCUGUUCUACCUGGUGUCCCCUGGCAUACACUCUCCCCACCACCAGGAUACAAGCUGCAGGAGAAGAUUCUACGACCAAAAGCUCUGCAACUACCAAGAGCAGCAUUGUAUGUCCCUCUGUGCUGCCAAGAUUAUCUACAAGAUAAUUUCAGGGCAGAGGAUGAGAGAAAAAUGCUGGAGGAUGCUAGCAGAGGCCAAAACCCCAAAAGAUGUUAGGAGUAGCUAAAGAAGGUCUCCCCUGACCAGAAACCUCUGAAGAACUGGAGGUUGAAUGGGACUGCGAGGUUAUUACCAGGUAUGUGUGCAUGACCUUCUGGGGGACUUUACUCCCCAUGUCUUUUGAUCUGAGCCAAGCCAAGAACCUGGGUUGAUUUCACUUAAGCUGUGACCUCCCUCUUCACUGAACAUGUGUUUUGAAAAAUCCUCAUCUGCUCCAUGUCAGACUCCUAUUUGUAACACAAUCAGCAGGUCUCCGAAGGAGGCUGACUCAAAGCCAACUUCAAGAGCAGAACGGAUUGGGCAAUCCACCAUAGUAAUGAAGAAGAUUAGUGGCAGGGUGCUUUUCUGGAUGCCUGAUUUUUUUUUCCUUUUAGUUUUGUCUUCUUGUCUUUUCAAUAUCUAUCACAUAUUUGGUGGCUAGUGAGCCAUUUUCUGAUAAAUUGCACAUGUGGUGAGGAAUGAUGGAUCAGGAUGAGGAAAAUAGGUUUUUGUUCAUCCAUGGAAGCUUCCACAAACUCACAGUACUAUUCUCUAAGUACCUAUCCUUCAGUGUCAGAUGCAGUUGCUUAAUGAUAACUAGAGUUACUUUCAACCUUGGGACUUUUUGCUGUUUCCUGCAUUAACUGUGCAAGUUCAACUGCAUCUUUCAACUUCUUUCUAACUUGCUUCCUCCAUUUUUGACAUAGGAUAGUAAGCAAUCCAUGAAAGAGAAGGAGAAGAUACACAGAGGUUCCCAUUGAGUUUGUGUUACAAAUCCUAAUCUCUAAAAUGUUUUCUCUCAUUUAAAGCAAGCAAGAUUGACAUGUGUGACUUUCCUAUGCCCACGGCCAGGGUCACUAAUUCAGCAUAAAGGCACUCUCCUCAGAACUUCUUAGGAGUGACAGGUAAGCCACACUAUCCACCGUCCCUGCAGGUGCUUGGGCUAGACUUCUUUUUUUAAUUCUAUCCAUGGUUUGGGUCCCAAAGGUAUCAAUUUCCCUUGCAUCUGUACAGCGUGAUUUGUGUGGUGUAGUACAUCAUGCCAUAGCUAACCCCUGACGGCUGAAGAGAUUUUCAUUUGCAUACAACACAUCCUUAUGUUGAGAAGGAAGCUAAACUUUGCUCAUGGAUCAUCAUGUCAUUGAGAGAAAGUCUGGAAAUGUAUGGUUUCCUCAUUAAAUCAUUUCUUGAGACUUGGUGAAGAAUUUUAAAAUAACGUAGAGGGGAAAGAAAUUUUAACCCUCUUUUUCCUUCCAUUCAUUUUCCAUGUCUCCUUUCAAGGGAAUGGAGGAAAAUUGCUAGCAUAAUUGGUAGGUGAUCAAGAAUUAAUUGUGCCAUGAAUAUUAAUGGGUAGGGCCACAGCAUUCCAAGACCCGAACCCACAUUCCGCCCCUCUCUCCUUGCCUCCUGUUAUACACAGCUUGGUUAGUAAGUCACAUCAGGACUUGUCCUUGUCAGGACAUUUCACCUGAGUGUCCUCUUUCAAACUUCAUGAAACACUCACUCUGCUGAGUCAGGAUUCUCCCUGGAGCCCUACCAUCACUCUCUGCCUGCAUGCCAAGUCAUGGUGGACAUGGCACUGGGCUAGCGUCCCAUUCACUUCAAUUCCUUCCAGUGAACAAAACACAUCUAUGGAAGUGGUAGGCUUAUAAUAGUGUACAAAGCAAAGAAAAAUAGAUUUUACAUCCUAGUAAAUAAGUGAAACUAAAUUUUGCCAGAUGGUGAUACAUUCUUUGGAAAAAAAUAAAGCAGGUAAGUGGGACAAGGGAGGGAAGGAUGCAAAGGAGAUGCAUUCUGAUUUCAAGCAGUAGGUUCAUGAAAGCCCUCACUGAGAAGGUGACAGUUGAGCAACAACCAAGGAAGUAUGGUGGAAUCAUGUGACUGUUUUGGGAGAAGAGCAUUCCAGGCAUGGAAAGGAGCAAAGGCAAGGUGCAGGCGCACGUGUUUGGGUAUCUGAAGCAAGGAGGCCAAAUGGCUGCAAAGAGUGAACCAAAGGGAGGAUGAUAGCAGGUAAGGUCAGAGUACAAGAUGAUAGUAGGGAACAGAUGGUAUGGGGCCUUGUGAUGACUCUGGAGUUUACUUGGCAUGAAGGGAAUAGAGAGAGAGCUGUCUUAGAUGCCUGUUGCUGUGGUGACAAAUGACCACAAAUGUAAUAGCUUGCAACGACUGUUAUGGAAGCCUUAAGUCUAAAAUCAGUUUCACUGGACUGAGGUCAAAGUGUUAGCAGGGAUCGUUCCUUCUGCAGCCUGUGAGGAGAGACUCUGUAUCAUGGUCUUUUUCAGCAUCUAGAGGCCACCUGCAUUCCUUUGCUUAUAGACCCUUCUUCCAUCUUCAAAGCAUAUUAUUCCAAUCUCUGCUUCCAUCAUCACAUCACUUUCUACUUUUUUUAGGCUUUGCCCAUGGCAUAUGGAAGUUCCUGGGCCAGGGAUGGAACCUGUGCCCCAGCAGCAACCCAAGCUGCUGCAGGGACAAUGCUGGAUCCUUAACCUGCUGUGCCACAAGGGAACUCCCAUCACAUCACUUUCUCCUCUGACUGACUGUUCCAGAAUCUCUUAUAACUACCAGGGUAGCUACAUCAACUCCCCAGAUAAUCCAGGAUAAUCUCCUCAUCUCAAAAUCCUUAACCGAAUCAUAUCUGAGACAUCUCUUUUGCCAUCUAAGGUAACAUGCAUAGGUUAUAGAGAUUAGGAUUUAGACAUAUUUGAGAAGCCAUUAUUCACUGUACCACACAUACCUUGAUUUGAUUUAGGUUUCCAAAGGAAGAUUUGGAUGCUCUAUUAAGAGCAGAGUUUUGGAAGUGCAAGGGCAGAAACAAGGCAUCCUAUUAAGUGGUUCUUUGUAAAACUUCAGGCAAAAGAUAAUGAUGGUUCAGUUCAGGGUAAUGACAGCAGAGUGGUUGAGAAAUUAUAUCCUGGAUAUGUUUUGAAAACAAGACCAACAAUUUUUUUUUCUUUUUAUGGAUGCAUCUAUGGCAUAUGGAAGUUCCAAGGUUAGGGGUCAAAUCAGAACUGCAGCUGCAGGCCUACACCACAGCCACAGCAACACCAGAUCCCAGCUGCAUCUGUAACUUACACCACAACUUGUGGCAACACCAGAUCGUUAACCCAGUGAUCGAGGCCAGAGAUCAACCCACAUCCUCACGGAGACUAUGUUGGGUUCUUAACCCACUGAACCACAACAGGAACUCCUGGCUUGUUAAUACAGGUAAUUAAAAAAAUAGAAGAGUAACUGAUCUCUUCAAGUUUUCAACCUGAGCAAUUGAAAGGAUAGAUAUGCUUUUUCCAAGGUGAGAAAGUUUAUUGAAGGAGCAGAUUUAGAGGAAAGAUAAUGAGUUUAGCUAUAUAUUAAAUUUGAAAAUAAAUACCAAAUUUGAAAUGCCAUUGAAGAUUCAAAUUGAGAUGACAACAUUUGAAUUAAAUAUUAGGACUUGAACAUAAAUAGUUGAAUCUGAUUAACCUUUACCAUAACUGUGUGCUGAGAGUUGUUAUACUUUCUAGUUUAAAUACCAUUUGGCUGUUAUUCUGUGCAUGUCCUUCACAAGGGAAUAUUGUAAGAAUAGGAGAACAUGGAAGAAGGGCAAAAGCAGGGCAAGAUUUGCAUACCACCCAAACUGACUGCAAUACCAUCAGAAUACCUCGAAAAGACCUCAAAUCCCCUUUAGCCCUCACACAGUAUAUUUGCAAAUAUAGUUGCAAUUUCUAAGGCUGACACUAAGAUCUACCAUAUCUUCUUGCCUCUUGAUUUAUGGUCUAUUUCAGCGGUCUUAAACUCCAGAUUGCAUUAGAAGCAGUAGACGAGUAUGUUAAAAUGCAACUUUCCGGACUUUAUCUGAGGAGUCUGACUGAGCAACAUUGGAUAGUUGAGUAUCAGUAAUCUGAAACCCAGGGAACAGUGUGGAAGGAGAGAGGAAGGACAGAUGGGUCGUGGUAGAUGAUACAUAUAGUAGAAGUUGGGUUUGGUUUGGUUAGAGAUUGAGAAUUGAUUGAAGACUAGCCUUAUGUGAUUAUGACAUCACUUUAUUCUCAUGAACCCUAAGAAAUAGGAGAACAGUAUUAUUAUUAUUAGUUUCCUUUUACAUAAAAGAAAAUGGAAACCCUGCCAUUUUGGUGUGCAUGGCCAAAAGAAAAAGAAAAAAAA
rnacentral:lncRNA from 1 species